GAAACGAAGUUUACUGUCUAGGUAAUACUUUUCUUCCUCAGAUAAAAAUUUUUUUGUUCGUAACAACUCUAUAGUUACUAUUAUAUAUUUUAAAUGUAAUGUUGAUUUUAGUACUUUGAUGUUACAUAUCACUUUCGGUACUUGUACUUUUACUUUUAGUUAGUAAUAAGGUCACUACGAUAUUGACACAGCAUUAUAA
rnacentral:lncRNA from 1 species